AGACCCGAAACCCGGUGAUCUAGCCAUGGGCAGGUUGAAGGUUGGGUAACACUAACUGGAGGACCGAACCGACUAAUGUUGAAAAAUUAGCGGAUGACCUGUGGCUGGGGGUGAAAGGCCAAUCAAACCGGGAGAUAGCUGGUUCUCCCCGAAAGCUAUUUAGGUAGCGCCUCGUGAAUUCAUCUCCGGGGGUAGAGCACUGUUUCGGCUAGGGGGCCAUCCCGGCUUACCAACCCGAUGCAAACUGCGAAUACCGGAGAAUGUUAUCACGGGAGACACACGGCGGGUGCUAACGUCCGUCGUGAAGAGGGAAACAACCCAGACCGCCAGCUAAGGUCCCAAAGUCAUGGUUAAGUGGGAAACGAUGUGGGAAGGCCCAGACAGCCAGGAUGUUGGCUUAGAAGCAGCCAUCAUUUAAAGAAAGCGUAAUAGCUCACUGGUCGAGUCGGCCUGCGCGGAAGAUGUAACGGGGCUAAACCAUGCACCGAAGCUGCGGCAGCGAACGUAUCACCCAAGACAACUUUACGGAGUUGACGAUUGACGGAGCGAAGCGACGUCAAAGCGUUCAUUAAAGUCGAGUUGGCUUAGGGAUACGUUCGUUGGGUAGGGGAGCGUUCUGUAAGCCUGUGAAGGUGUGUCGUGAGGCAUGCUGGAGGUAUCAGAAGUGCGAAUGCUGACAUAAGUAACGAUAAAGCGGGUGAAAAGCCCGCUCGCCGGAAGACCAAGGGUUCCUGUCCAACGUUAAUCGGGGCAGGGUGAGUCGACCCCUAAGGCGAGGCCGAAAGGCGUAGUCGAUGGGAAACGGGUUAAUAUUCCCGUACUUGGUGUUACUGCGAAGGGGGGACGGAGAAGGCUAUGUUGGCCGGGCGACGGUUGUCCCGGUUUAAGCGUGUAGGUGUGUGUUCCAGGUAAAUCCGGUUCACUUUAACACUGAGGCGUGACGACGAGGCACUACGGUGCUGAAGCAACAAAUGCCCUGCUUCCAGGAAAAGCCUCUAAGCAUCAGGUAACACGAAAUCGUACCCCAAACCGACACAGGUGGUCAGGUAGAG
rnacentral:rRNA from 1 species